GGAGUUUGGGCCGUGUCUCAGUCCCAAUGUGGCCGGUCACCCUCUCAGGUCGGCUAUGGAUCAUCACCUUGGUGGGCCGUUACCUCACCAACUAGUUAAUCCGACGCGGGCCCAUCCUCCACCGAUAAAUCUUUCCGCCCAGGACCAUGCGGUCCCGUGCGCAUAUGCGGUAUUAGCAGUCGUUUCCAACUGGUAUCCCCCGGAAUGGGGCAGGUUCCCCACGCGUUACUCACCCGUCCGCCACUCGGUUAAAACUGCUUCCAUCCGAAAACUUCCGCUGUAAUAACCUCGUUCGACUUGCAUGUGUUAAGCACGCCGCCAGCGUUCAUC
rnacentral:rRNA from 1 species